CUCCAGAAGAUAGUGGUGGCUUUCAUCCAACAUAUCGCAGUGUGUGACUUGUUCAUAACCAUAAGCACCACCAUCCCCCAGCUGGUCUCCUUGAUUAAAGAUAGAAAAAGCAACAACAAGCUCAUACCUAUUAUAAGAUUCUUCAUCGUAUUUUAUGAAUACAGUGUGAGUAUAAAUCUUGUCAGCGCGAUGACCCUUGGGAAGCUUUUCUCCCUAAAAUACCCUUUUAAAGCAGGCACUUGGACCACUGCCAGAAUUCACAAGUUCUGUGCUGGUAUUUGGAUCGCCGCCCUUUCUGUUCCGGUUCUACAUAUCCUCAUAGACAAAGAAGACAUAGUGUUCGAUUGCAGAGUGUAUACUUAUAUGCACACGUACACUUCUAGCAUUUGGAAGAUAUUGCUCCCCAUCAUUUCCCUGAUCGUACUGGUCACCCCAAAUGUGAUAAUAGUCGCCUCAACAGUUCUGCUGCUGAAAGAGGCAAGAAGAGUGGUCACGGACACCCGAGAAAGUCUACGCUGGCAAGGCAUCAUGACGGUGGUUCUCACUGCAACAGUCACCACAAUUUCCUUCUUGACACCAGCAGUCUACCUGAUUGCUGAGCCGUUUAUAGCUAAAGAUCCCUCUGUUCCUGGACCAUUCUACAAAGAGUUUUACCGGUUCUCUGCCGCUGUAAUGUGCGUGAAUGUUCUUGCUAACUUCUUCGUUUAUAGCCUAACGGUGACCAGCUUCAGAAACUUCCUGAAGUCGAAGUUAAAGCAGGCCUUUUCUAUCCAAUCAAACAAAGUCACUAAAGGUAAUUCUUUAAAAGAAUCUAGUUCUUUUGUCUGACAAUCAGGUAAUUAUUUAUUAUUUAUUAGAAUAAGUAAAACUGAUAAAAAAGUUAUUUAUCUAAACAAUCAGACAACAACUUAUCAGUAAAAAACAACCAGGCAGGACAGUAUCCAAGGGUACAGCAAAAGGAAGGGGAAGACAGAUCAACAGAACCAACUUCCCUGCCAUACCACGCCAAGAAAUAGAGCGAAUAAAGGAAGGAGGGAAGACAGAAGUGAAAACGCUAACAGGACCAACAAAGGAAAUCGAUAUUGUGAUCGAUGGACCAUUGGAAGUAAAGACAACAGAACGAAUAACCGUAACGAUAGAAAGAGGGACAGAAAAAGGAUACAUGAAAGAGAAUGACCAGAUCGACAAUCAGCCCAUAGAAAUCGAGGAAACGGGCAUUUGAUCGCAGAGACCUACUUCAAAGAUUGGACUAUGAAUGAAAAAUAUGGAUGAUUUCGCAAGAUCAUGUUGAAAAUAAUAUGUCCUCAUUUUUGCUUUUUUUUGAUACCCCGUUUCCCCAAAAUAUGUACAUUCUUAAACAUGGUUCUCAACAGAGAACAUUCAUAUUUGAUACUGGAAAUAUCUGAUAGAAGGAAUUUUAGUUUUUUAGUUUUUAUAUUCUUCCUCCUACUCUGCUGAUAAUUGAACAAUAAACAAAAAAACAUUGACUGAAUUUUAAAUUUUCGAUUACUGAAUUUAUAACGACUUCAUUACAUGCUUAAUUUACAAUGUUUAUUUUCUGA